UACCAGCACCCCGAGUGGUCGGGACGAUUAUUGGGCCUAAAGCAUCCGUAGCCGGUCAUGCAAGUCCUCCGUUAAAUCCACCUGCUUAACAGAUGGGCUGCGGAGGAUACUACAAGGCUAGGAGGCGGAAGAGGCAAGCGGUACUCAGUGGGUAGGGGUAAAAUCCUCUGAUCCAUUGAAGACCACCAGUGACGAAGGCGGCUUGCCAAUACGCGCUCGACGGUGAGGGAUGAAAGCUGGGGGAGCAAACCGG
rnacentral:rRNA from 1 species